CCUACGGGUGGCAGCAGUAGGGAAUAUUGCUCAAUGGGGGAAACCCUGAAGCAGCAACGCCGCGUGGAGGAUGAAGGUUUUCGGAUUGUAAACUCCUUUUGUUAGAGAAGAUAAUGACGAUAUCUAAAGAAUAAGCACCGGAUAACUCCGUGCCAGAAGCCGCGGUAAUACGGAGGGUGCAAGCGUUACUCGGAAUCACUGGGCGUAAAGAGCGCGUAGGCGGGAUAGCAAUUCAGAUGUGUAAUCCUAUGGCUUAACCAUGGAACUGCUUUUGAAACUGUUAUCCUAGAGUAUGAGAGAGGUAGGUGGAAUUCUUGGUGUAGGGGUAAAAUCCGUAGAGAUCAAGAGGAAUACUCAUGGCGAAGGCGACCUACUAGGUCAUAACUGACGCUGAUGCGCGAAAGCGUGGGGAGCAAACAGGAUUAGAUACCCCUGUAGUC
rnacentral:rRNA from 1 species